GCGGAUGUAGUUCAAUGGUAGAACCUCAGCUUCCCAAGCUGAAGACGCGGGUUCGAUUCCCGUCAUCCGCU
rnacentral:tRNA from 1 species